ACAGCAGCAGCCGCGGGAAAACAGAGGGUGCGAGCGUUAAUCGGAUUUACUGGGCGUAAAGCGUGCGUAGGCGGCUUCUUAAGUCGGAUGUGAAAUCCCUGAGCUUAACUUAGGAAUUGCAUUCGAUACUGGGAAGCUAGAGUAUGGGAGAGGAUGGUAGAAUUCCAGGUGUAGCGGUGAAAUGCGUAGAGAUCUGGAGGAAUACCGACGGCGAAGGCAGCCAUCUGGCCUAAUACUGACGCUGAGGUACGAAAGCAUGGGGAGCAAACAGGAUUAGAUACCCGAGUAGUCCCUGUCUCUUAUAC
rnacentral:rRNA from 1 species